GAUGAACGCUGGCGGCGUGCCUAAUACAUGCAAGUCGAGCGAACAGACGAGGAGCUUGCUCCUUUGACGUUAGCGGCGGACGGGUGAGUAACACGUGGAUAACCUACCUAUAAGACUGGGAUAACUUCGGGAAACCGGAGCUAAUACCGGAUAACAUGUUGAACCGCAUGGUUCAACAGUGAAAGACGGUCUUGCUGUCACUUAUAGAUGGAUCCGCGCCGCAUUAGCUAGUUGGUAAGGUAACGGCUUACCAAGGCAACGAUGCGUAGCCGACCUGAGAGGGUGAUCGGCCACACUGGAACUGAGACACGGUCCAGACUCCUACGGGAGGCAGCAGUAGGGAAUCUUCCGCAAUGGGCGAAAGCCUGACGGAGCAACGCCGCGUGAGUGAAGAAGGUCUUCGGAUCGUAAAACUCUGUUAUUAGGGAAGAACAAAUGUGAAAGUAACUAUGCACGUCUUGACGGUACCUAAUCAGAAAGCCACGGCUAACUACGUG
rnacentral:rRNA from 1 species